rnacentral:rRNA from 1 species
GAUGAACGCUGGCGGCGUGCCUAAUACAUGCAAGUCGAGCGAACGGACGAGAAGCUUGCUUCUCUGAUGUUAGCGGCGGACGGGUGAGUAACACGUGGAUAACCUACCUAUAAGACUGGGAUAACUUCGGGAAACCGGAGCUAAUACCGGAUAAUAUUUUGAACCGCAUGGUUCAAAAGUGAAAGACGGUCUUGCUGUCACUUAUAGAUGGAUCCGCGCUGCAUUAGCUAGUUGGUAAGGUAACGGCUUACCAAGGCAACGAUGCAUAGCCGACCUGAGAGGGUGAUCGGCCACACUGGGAACUGAGACACGGUCCAGACUCCUACGGGAGCAGCAGUAGGGAAUCUUCCGCAAUGGGCAAAGCCUGACGGAGCAACGCCGCGUGAGUGAUGAAGGUCUUCGGAUCGUAAAACUCUGUUAUUAGGGAAGAACAUAUGUGUAAGUAACUGUGCACAUCUUGACGGUACCUAAUCAGAAAGCCACGGCUAAC